rnacentral:rRNA from 1 species
AGUGAACGCUGGCGGUAGGCCUAACACAUGCAAGUCGAACGGCAGCACAGUAAGAGCUUGCUCUUACGGGUGGCGAGUGGCGGACGGGUGAGGAAUACAUCGGAAUCUACUUUUUCGUGGGGGAUAACGUAGGGAAACUUACGCUAAUACCGCAUACGACCUACGGGUGAAAGCAGGGGAUCUUCGGACCUUUCGCGAUUGAAUGAGCCGAUGUCGGAUUAGCUAGUUGGCGGGGUAAGGGCCCACCAAGGCGACGAUCCGUAGCUGGUCUGAGAGGAUGAUCAGCCACACUGGAACUGAGACACGGUCCAGACUCCUACGGGAGGCAGCAGUGGGGAAUAUUGGACAAUGGGCGCAAGCCUGAUCCAGCAAUACCGCGUGGGUGAAGAAGGCCUUCGGGUUGUAAAGCCCUUUUGUUGGGAAAGAAAAGCAGCAGGUUAAUACCCCGCUGUUCUGACGGUACCCAAAGAAUAAGCACCGGCUAACUUCGUG